CCAACGGCCCUCUUUAGGGCCACAAAUUGAUAAACCGAACUUGAU
rfam:Anisakis simplex genome assembly, scaffold: ASIM_contig0001164